rnacentral:rRNA from 1 species
AGAGUUUGAUCAUGGCUCAGAGCGAACGCUGGCGGCAGGCUUAACACAUGCAAGUCGAACGCGUGUAGCAAUACACGAGUGGCGCACGGGUGAGUAACGCGUGGGCAUCUGCCUCAUGGUUCGGAAUAACCCCGGGAAACUGGGGCUAAUACCGGAUGGUACCUUCGGGUUAAAGAUUUAUCGCCAUGAGAUGAGCCCGCGUCCGAUUAGCUAGUUGGUGAGGUAACGGCUCACCAAGGCGACGAUCGGUAGCUGGUCUGAGAGGACGAUCAGCCACACUGGGACUGAGACACGGCCCAGACUCCUACGGGAGGCAGCAGUGGGGAAUAUUGGACAAUGGGGGCAACCCUGAUCCAGCCAUGCCGCGUGAGUGAUGAAGGCCUUCGGGUUGUAAAGCUCUUUUAGCGGGGACGAUGAUGACGGUACCCGCAGAAUAAGCCCCGGCUAACUUCGUGCCAGCAGCCGCGGUAAGACGAAGGGGGCUAGCGUUGCUCGGAAUUACUGGGCGUAAAGCGCGUGUAGGCGGCUGUUCUAGUUGGGCGUGAAAGCCUUGGGCUUAACCCAAGAAAUGCGCUCAAUACUGGAUAGCUAGAGGACCGGAGAGGAUAGUGGAAUUCCCAGUGUAGUGGUGAAAUACGUAGAGAUUGGGAAGAACACCAGUGGCGAAGGCGGCUAUCUGGACGGUUUCUGACGCUAAGACGCGAAAGCGUGGGGAGCAAACAGGAUUAGAUACCCUAGUAGUCC